rnacentral:rRNA from 1 species
GAUGAACGCUGGCGGCGUGCCUAAUACAUGCAAGUCGAGCGAACAGAUAAGUAGCUGGCUCCUUGGACGUUAGGGGCGGACGAGUGGGUAACAAGUUGCUAACGGACCUGGGAGAAUGGAAAAAAUCCGGGAAAAAUAGGGUAAUGCCAGAGAACAUUUAAAACCGGAUGGUUGUAAAGUGAAACGUGGGUGUGCUAUCACGUAUAGAAGGACCCGCGCCGUAUUGGCUAGGUGGUAAGGUAACGGCUUACGAAGGCAACGAUACGUGGUCAACGUGAGAGGCUGGUAGCCCACCCUGGAACUGAGCCACGGACCAUACGACUACGGGAGGGAGCAGUCGGGAAUCUUCCGCAAUGGGCGAAAGCCUGACGGAGCAACGCCGCGUGAGUGAUGAAGGUCUCCGGAUCGUAAAAACCUGUUACUAGGGAAAAACAACUGUGUAAGUAACUGUGCACGUCUUGACGGUACCUAAUCAGAAAGCCACGGCUAACUACGUG